GUCUUUUAGAAAAUAAUUUAAAGUCUAACCUGCCCACUGAAUUAAUUUGAAGGGCCGCAGUAUUUUGACUGUGCAAAGGUAGCAUAAUCAUUAGUCUUUUAAUUGAAGGCUUGUAUGAAUGGUUGGAUGAAAUAUUAACUGUCUCAAAUUAAUAAAAUAGAAUUUAAUUUUUAAGUUAAAAAGCUUAAAUAGAAUUAGAGGACGAGAAGACCCUAUAGAUCUUUAUAUUUUUAUUGUUAAUUUUUAUUUAGGAAAAAAAAUAUUUUUAAUAAUAAUAGUAUUUUAUUGGGGUGAUAACUAAAUUUAGAUAACUUUAUUUAAUAAAAACAUUAAUUUAUGAAUAAUUGAUCCAUUAUUAGUGAUUAAAAGAUUAAGUUACCUUAGGGAUAACAGCGUAAUUUUUUUAGAGAGUUCUUAUCGAUAAAAGAGUUUGCGACCUCGAUGUUGAAUUAAAGAUUAAUUUAGGUGCAGUAGUUUAAAUGUUUGGUCUGUUCGACCAUUAAAUC
rnacentral:rRNA from 1 species